GUCUUCACCGUCGUCUCUGUCUUCACCAUCUCGGCGUCGCCAAUCAGGCAGUCUGCCAGCUGUCCUGACUAUGAACCGUAGUCGCUAAAGUGUGAACUGUUAGGCCGUGUUAAUAAACACAGUGCCUCCUACUCUUAGUGUCUCUGAGUCAAUCACUACACGUGUCAAAUGAAUACACUCUCAUUCUAUUCCUCUCUCAAAUAUCUAAUCGAGUACUUGAAGUGAUUGUUUAACGUGAGUGUUCCGCACACAUGCGUUUUUAGGUACUGGAGGUCAUUUAGUAAAACAGCCGGCACGAAUAAAAAUGAGAAGAGUGCCUUCUGGUUAGUGAACGGGUUUACAUCACUGCCAAUGUGCAACGGACGCCAGAAAACUGUGUGUAGAACUCGGGCAAUUGGGUAUGUGGCGAUUGCCUAAACAGCCGCAGAAAAAUAUUGACAGUGGCCAUCAUGGGUGAUUGAUCGAAAUGAGUUUUGCAGCAAAAUAAAUAAACAAUGGGAACAUAUUUCAGCAGAUGCGCACGCUCGCAGGCAUAUGGAUUUUUCGGCCAUUACAAUUGGCACUCGACACAACCCACGGUGCGAUUGCAUUGGGCCUUCCCGCUGCGGCCCACAGGCGAUUUGCGCCAAGGAGCAGGGUUCCGGGGGAUCCCACACACACUUUACAGCCUCUACCCCUCAGGCGGGGUCUCAAUCAGGGUUAUGAAUGACCCCGCUCUGUGCCGAGGAGGCUCGCGUGAGAAGUGAAGAUCUGGCACCGGUCUCCGCUCUCCGAGAAGCCAACCUCGCCGCGGACGAGACGGAGGGCGAUUUGUUGGGAUGCCGGCUUCCCGCGGGCCCUCCGGCCAGUGUGGCAGCGUCGUCGUCAGCAGCACGCCCGUGUGGAAUUCCAAGCACGCAUCUCUUCAUGCUUCAUUGCGCAUAUUUCAGCUUUUGUUAAAAUAAAAUGCAAUGUCCAUAUUUAUGAACCUGUAUAUAAUGGCAAAUAAUAUAACCUGGUUAAAACCUUUCUUCUGUGUACCUGCAUAUGUAUCAUGUUAAUCAUCAUCUGUGCUCAAUAAACUGGUGAAUCAAAGUUUAUCAUUGUUCAUGCCUCAGUUUUUAGAUGAUGUAUCUCCAUAUAUACGCGUCAAUUUAAACCGGUUAUUAUGCUCACAGUAAAACUCAAGAGGUUAUUAUAGCCAUUGCUGCUGAUGCCACCAUCAAUCAUCUUCGCUUCCUUAGCACAAUUUGAAAGAUUUGGUUGAAUAAUGUACCUUGGCAAAUAAUGUAUGCACUGAGUAUGCAAAUGUAUGUGGAUUAUUUGUGUAACGUUGCAUUGAUGGGAUAAUGGAGUAAACAAAACUGGACAAAUGGGACAAACAUGUUUGUUAAGCAAUAAAAAUUAGGCGGUAAAAAUGAGUCAAAUAAAAUACAAUUCUCAAUCACUAUCCUCAAUAAUUACAAUUCAAGAAUGGUUUGGGAAUGAAUCAUCACAGCUCUUGGUAAAUCACAUGAAUGAGCAUGGAAUAGUUUAGUAUCCAAAUUAGAUAACGCAUACAAAGAUAUAAUCAAAUGUUAACUUUACAUAAAAUUACUAAAGAAUUGAAUACCAAAUAAUAGUCCCUUUUAUGCGUUUUUCACUUGGAGCUGCACACACGCACCCACAUUAUGUGAUUGGUACAGUAUCCAGAUGAAGAAUGGUCACGAGUCACGUCAGUUUUGCCCAACGACCACCAACAAGGCUUCAAUUUUACCGCAUACUUUAAAAAAAAACAGAAUGCUGUCCCUUUUAAAGGAUUAACACAUGCCGUUGUGAAAUUUAACAGGUUCCGCUUGCUGGCAGAAACACGUUCCCUUGUCGACGAUAACUGCUUUGUGCAUUCCAAUGAGCACCAACCGCGACUGGUCAAGUUGUCUUGGCAAAAUAUAUGCAACGACAAAGAUCACCCGUAUAGCCUGAGCAGACUUUUGGAGCAAGUGCUGUUCGUGAGCGCCAAUGAAAGCCGGCAAGGCACACGAGGGUGUGGGUGGCCAGUAGCACAACCUUUGUCUCAUUUCUAGGUAUGUUAUACACACCGCACCAGAUACUCGGUUGAGGCUGAGUCGACCUAGCGGAGGCCUAGCACCAAUUCAGAUAAUAGUCAUGGAUGUUGGCCGUGAGCAGGAAUUGAACUCGGGUCGCUGCGUCGGUGGCACAGUGCUCUAACCGCUACGAUACCGCACAAAUAUACACACGCACGGGCAUGUCACAGAAUUAGUUUCACUCUGGAUAUCAACUACAGACGUGUGUCUCAUCGAUGUGUGCAGAGCUGUUUUCUGGCCAAAUUCACACACACACAUAUAACAUGUAUAUCCACUUGAGUGGAUUUUUAUUGUAAACUACCUGUUCCACAGCAGUAUACGUGAGAUAGGAAAUGUUUUCAUCAGCCUGUCAGUCAUAUUAGAUAACUACAAUAUUUUUUUCAUAAAAUUUAUUUUUAGUUUAAUGGGCUCGACUGUUAACGUUACAUAUAUUUAAGCGGUUCACUGCAUCAAGGGAGAAUACUGAAAUCAUUAACAGUGCAGCCAUAACUUAAAUCCGCCUCCUAUUCUGUCUCUCCGCAUUAAAAUGAAAAAUAUAUAGUUUAAGGGCCUUUUGGCCUUUUAAACUCCAGCAAUUGUUGAAGCACGCAAACUCAUGGAGACACAGAACAGAGGCUGAAUAAUGUAUUUUAUUACCCAGAAUGCCCCACAACAGGAGUUAUUAGCAAUGCUCCUGGGCUUUGGCAGGAUUGCGGUUGGACUAGUUUCCUGAUCAAAAUAUUACCGUCAAUUUGGUGCUCAUUUC